rnacentral:rRNA from 1 species
AUUGAACGCUGGCGGCAGGCCUAACACAUGCAAGUCGAACGGUAACAGGGAUCAGCUUGCUGAUUCGCUGACGAGUGGCGGACGGGUGAGUAAUGUCUGGGAAACUGCCUGAUGGAGGGGGAUAACUACUGGAAACGGUAGCUAAUACCGCAUAACGUCGCAAGACCAAAGAGGGGGACCUUCGGGCCUCUUGCCAUCGGAUGUGCCCAGAUGGGAUUAGCUAGUAGGUGGGGUAACGGCUCACCUAGGCGACGAUCCCUAGCUGGUCUGAGAGGAUGACCAGCCACACUGGAACUGAGACACGGUCCAGACUCCUACGGAAGGCAGCAGUGGGGAAUAUUGCACAAUGGGCGCAAGCCUGAUGCAGCCAUGCCGCGUGUAUGAAGAAGGCCUUCGGGUUGUAAAGUACUUUCAGCGGGGAGGAAGGGAGUAAAGUUAAUACCUUUGCUCAUUGACGUUACCCGCAGAAGAAGCACCGGCUAACUCCGUG